rnacentral:lncRNA from 1 species
UAAAAUGGGUUAUCAAUCUUAUAAAGUUGUGUUCUUUUUCCCGGAACUAAGAAGAUUUAUAUCAUCUUUUCUUGUGGACAGGUUCCGAGUUGUUGCAACUUUCCACAGCUAUGUUUCCAGAUCAAUGCAGCGGAGUUCGGAAGGUUUGGUCCCCUCGUCGAAGAACCAGAGCUCUCAGCCGGUGCACCACCGUCGUCCCCGGAAUAACGUCGCGCAAGUUAUAAUGGUAAUCCAACAUACCAUCAACUUUUGAUGUCGACAAUUGUAGAUAUCAUUACCAAUAUUUAUUAACUAAACCAAAAUUUGAAGAAUAUAUUUCUCGAUACAUUUAUUUAUUUUUAUCCUAUAGAGAAAGGAAGAGUGAUUUAUUUUACACAGCCCACAAUCAUGUAUUCUUAGGAGAUUUGUGACCAUCUGGAUUGCAGCAGACAUGAUAUUCUGUGACCAUAAAUGCUGUUCGUAAAGCGAAUUAGACAUGAGAUUCUGUGACUAUCACUUGGAUUUUGAAUGACCCUUUGCUUGUGCUUCCUUUAAUGAACCUUUUUGCUUGCACUCUCUUCCAUGAACUGUCCCUUUCAGGUCUCUCUUAUCAGACAUCAAUCAACCAUGCGCUGUGUAGCACAGUGAUAUUUGACGGCCAUGAGCGAUGGUAAGAAAGCAGAUCAAAUAUAUCAUAGAGAAGAGACUAUUGCUCCUCCUUAUUGGAGACAUAAGCACUCACAGAUUACACUCUCAGCCUUGCAUCGGACAAUGCUUAUUGCAUCACACCAAAGCAAACCAAAGCAGGUAGAUCGAGACCAGUUUAGUUCCAGCAGACGCAUCUGGUAACGCCGGGAGUCGCUCUUAUUUUGGCGCAGCUACGAUAACAUCAUGCGAGUUGCCGUGCGCCCUCACGAGCUUCAGCAAGUCCGAGGUCACGCCCAGAGAUGCUUCGAGGACGUCGGCGUUUGUGAGGCUCAGCGGCGACGUCUUCCCCACCACCGGGUGGAAGAUGGGCCUGCAGAGAACGCAUGAGGAGCUUCGCAUCAGAGCGUCAAGGACCUGAAGCUUUAAGUCGCUUCUCGUUACCUCUCACUGGUGAUGAUGGAGAACCACUCCAACCCCUCGCUGCCCGCGACCGCCGCCAUCACGUAGAACUUCUGCACCACGAACACGCAUCCUGCUGCCACCUCCUUGUCCAUGAUGGUGGCGCCGUUGACUCCGCUGAUCUGAACUUGUCCGCUGCCUCUGGUGAUGUACACGAGCUGGAUGUCGGGGAAGAACCCCGGGACGCGCAUGGCGUUGGGCUCGAGCUUGGUGAUGUUGAUGGAGAACCUGAACCGCCCUUCCAGGGCGGCGAGGUUGUCCUUGGUCAUCGACACGACGUGGCCGCCACAGGGGACGUGGUUGCUGAACCGGGCGCUGUCCUCGUGCAGGACGAUCCCGUGGCGGUCGCGGUCGUGAGUCUUGACGCACAGCUUCUUCUCCGGUUUGAUGAUCUGGAUGCCGGCCUGGCUCGAGAAGAGCUUGGCCGCCGCUUCUUGGCUCACUCCGCUGGCCUUGGCGAGGAAGUCCGUGGAGAGGCCAUUGUAGACCGCCGCUUGGCCUGCAACUAAGAAGUAGGUGAUCAAGCCCUGGGUGAGACCGGCGGCGCCGUCGCCCAGGUAUAUGAUGGAGAAGUCGGUGUCCCCGUCGUUGUACCACCAUGUGUAGGUUUCUUUGGGCACGGUGAUCACAUCUCCUUUCUUGAUCAGCACCGCCCUUUCUUUGGUCUCCCCCGGCAGUAUCACCCCAACCACAGCUCU